GCCGAGUAGCAGCGUUUGGUCGACGAGUGACAAGUAGCAAUGUCUAGUCAUUUUAAUUUGUUUGGCGAUGAGCAAGAAUCAGGUAUGUUUUUUUCCAGCGUUUUAAGAAGAAGCAAGGCAGUUCAUGAAAGGUUGGUUAUUCUUUUAUUCAAUCUCUUCGAUCUCUAAUUAGUUUAACAAAAUAGGUGUUCUCAACUUUUGAAUUUGUAGAUUACUCAAAUGGGCAUGCAUCGACAGUUAGUUAGCUCUGCUAUUGUUUCAAAUUUGAAAACUGAUGUCAGAAAAGGAGCAUGGGACAAAGUAGAGGAAACUGUGUCUCACUUGAAGCAAAAACAAUUAGAAAUGGCUGAAAUAGCAGUGUGGUUGGAGGCCACUGGUGGCGUGAGGAAAGGGAAGUAAUGCAACAGUAACACAAGGAUAUGGAAGAGCAAUACCGUAGUAUUUGUGAGACUGUCCA